rnacentral:rRNA from 1 species
UACGUAGGGUGCGAGCGUUGUCCGGAAUUAUUGGGCGUAAAGAGCUUGUAGGUGGCUCGUCGCGUCGGGAGUGAAAACCCGCGGCUUAACCGCGGGCCUGCUUUCGAUACGGGCGGGCUAGAGUUCGGCAGGGGAGAACGGAAUUCCUGGUGUAGCGGUGAAAUGCGCAGAUAUCAGGAGGAACACCGGUGGCGAAGGCGGUUCUCUGGGCAUUACCUGACGCUGAGGAGCGAAAGUGUGGGGAGCGAACAGG